AACUGAUCUACACAAGGAGGAGGUAAUUAAGUCAUUUCAUUCCAGUGUUUUGUACCUGUGGCACAUCUAAAAACUGUAGGUCUGCGGCCCUCGAGGACUGGAGUUUGAGACCCCUGGCCUAGAGCUUCGGUCGUCAUGAGGAUGACCUACAGCGCCGGAGAGGUUAGUCAUUCUCUACACCUUCUUUGUGGAAUGGUCACCAGAAAAAAAAACUACCCAACAGGCAGCAGGACAGCCGUCGUCCUGCGGCGGGCAAAGCCUUUGUUGUCAUCAGCAAACUCUUCAGCAACAAGCUCAAAACUGCAAAACUCCGGAAGGCACGCUCUAAUCCAGACUCGGUGUGCUUCUCCAAAAAACCUCAUGCGUUUCUUGAGAAAACCUGACCUCCCCUCCCUUUUACUGUAACUCGAAGAAGCAUGGAGCCUGGCUGUUGUCCCUGGGGUUGUGGGAAAUGCCACAUUCCUUAUAUGGGCAUCCCAUGUAUUCCCUCUCUCCAUAUCCCAGAAGCAGGCGUGGCCUUCCCAUCAGCACUGGAAUCAACGAUCAUUUGCAGAACACACCGACCGGGGAGCUUGAGUUUCCCCACUAAUUAAAGUGAAGCAGUCCCUUUUUUUUUUUUAAAGUAAUCGUGGACAGGUGCUUUUAGAUACAUACGGUACAAUCGGAGCGACAGAGUUCAGAAUAACACAGAGAAAUCAGGAGUUAUCGGGAAAAGGCAGGAAAAUAUCUGCACGCUUUAUGCUGUCAGUGACUGUGUGGAGCUGUAUGUGGAAGUGAGAUUAACUUUAUUUGCUCAAGAGAGUGGGAGUCGUUACGAAACAAAUAGACUUUGCACAGUUCGCUUCAAAGACACAGAGAUAAGACAGUUUGAAAGCAAAAUGAGCACAUGCAAGAACAGACACAAGUAAAAAAGAAAAAAAAAAAGAAG